UACGUAGGGGGCUAGCGUUGUCCGGAUUUAUUGGGCGUAAAGAGCGUGUAGGCGGCCAGGUAGGUCCGUUGUGAAAACUCGAGGCUCAACCUCGAGACGUCGGCGGAAACCCUCUGGCUAGAGUCCGGAAGAGGAGAGUGGAAUUCCUGGUGUAGCGGUGAAAUGCGCAGAUAUCAGGAAGAACACCCGUGGCGAAGGCGGCUCUCUGGGACGGCACUGACGCUGAGACGCGAAAGCGUGGGGAGCAAACAGG
rnacentral:rRNA from 1 species